rnacentral:rRNA from 1 species
AACGAACGCUGGCGGCAGGCCUAACACAUGCAAGUCGAACGCCCCGCAAGGGGAGUGGCGCACGGGUGAGUAACGCGUGGGAAUAUGCCCUUCGGUUCGGAAUAACACAGGGAAACUUGUGCUAAUACCGGAUACGAUCUACGGAUGAAAGAUUUAUCGCCGAGGGAGUAGCCCGCGUAGGAUUAGCUAGUUGGUGAGGUAAUGGCUCACCAAGGCGACGAUCCUUAGCUGGUCUGAGAGGAUGAUCAGCCACACUGGGACUGAGACACGGCCCAGACUCCUACGGGAGGCAGCAGUGGGGAAUAUUGGACAAUGGGCGAAAGCCUGAUCCAGCCAUGCCGCGUGAGUGAUGAAGGCCUUAGGGUGUAAAGCUCUUUCGCCAGGGAAGAUAAUGACGGUACCUGGAAAAGGAAGCCCGCGUACUACUCGUCGACCGACGACGACCGG